AACCAGGAUACCGAAAAUGGUGAAAAGAGUAGGUA
rnacentral:ncRNA from 1 species